GCUUGUCUCAAAGAUUAAGCCAUGCAUGUCUUAGUGUAAAUAACUCUUAUGAAACUGCGAAUGGCUCAUUAAAUCAGUUAUCAAAUACGUGAUGGUCGCCUACUACAUGGAUAACCGUAGUAAUUCUAGAGCUAAUACAUGCACAAAGGCCCACUCACGUGGGUUGUGAUUAUUAGAUUCAAACCGGCCUCGUUCUGGUGAUUCAUAAUAAUUGGUCGAACCGCAUGCCCUUGUGGUGGCGGUGAUUCAUCCUUAUUUCUGCCCUAUCAACUUUCGAUGGUAAGGUAUUGGCUUACCAUGGUUACAACGGGUAACGGGGAAUUAGGGUUCGAUUCCGGAGAGGGGGCCUGAGAAAUGGCCACCACUUCCAAGGAAGGCAGCAGG
rnacentral:rRNA from 1 species